UACGUAGGGGGCAAACGUUGUUCGGAAUUACUGGGCGUAAAGCGUGUGUAGGCGGCUUCGCAAGUCGGAUGUGAAAGCCCCGGGCUCAACCCGGGAAGUGCACUCGAUACUGCGGAGCUAGAGUGUCGGAGAGGUUGGUGGAAUUCUCGGUGUAGAGGUGAAAUUCGUAGAUAUCGAGAGGAACACCGGUGGCGAAGGCGGCCAACUGGACGAACACUGACGCUGAGACACGAAAGCGUGGGGAGCAAACAGG
rnacentral:rRNA from 1 species